ensembl:snoRNA
AGCACUUAAAUUUGUUUUUGUAUGUCUUGUAGACAAAGACACAGAAAAGUACAAAAAAUAAGUCCUCUUUUGCAACCCAGAACUCAUUGUUUAGUAUGAGUUUUGAUACAUAUAAGAAGGAAUAUU